GACUGACAUGCCAGAUCUAGUUAUGAACGUCAGUUGUGCUUGGAACAUUUCAACAGACGUCGUCUUGAUCUUUCUCAUCUGGAAAGGCCUUGUGGCAGGUGUUCAGACAUUCCUGGGUGCUGGACAGACCAUAUUUUUCAGAAUACAUUGACAAGGAAAACGCCAAGGAGUGUGGAGAUGCAUCACAGAUCUACCUGUCUUUUUCUCUCUUCCUCACCUGUCUCACUGCCUCCUUCACCUGUCUCAAGACCACAGACAGCUACCUAGCCUAAACCCCGCCUCCCCUCUGAAUCGGUAUCUCCCUGGAAUGUUCCAGAAUGCCUGAAUUUAGCAUGCCUGCUGCUGUUUGCGUUGUCUUUAUCAAUCAAUAUGACUAUAUGAUUUAAGUUAUGAUAUUGAUCAUUUUGGCUGAUGGACUGAGAGGAAUAAGCUGUUGACUGACUCCAUGCUUGAUGACUUUACAAUCACAGAGAGAUGUUGACUGACUCCAUGUUUGAUGACUUUACAAUCACAGAGAGAUGUUGACUGACUCCAUGCUUGAUGACUUUACAAUCACAGAGAGAUGUUGACUGACUCCAUGCUUGAUGACUUUACAAUCACAGAGAGAUGUUGACUGACUCCAUGUUUGAUGACUUUACAAUCACAGAGAGCUGUUGACUGACUCCAUGCUUGAUGACUUUACAAUCACAGAGAGAUGUUGACUGACUCCAUGCUUGAUGACUUUACAAUCACAGAGAGAUGUUGACUGACUCC